rnacentral:rRNA from 1 species
GACGAACGCUGGCGGCGUGCUUAACACAUGCAAGUCGAGCGCUGAAGCCUUUCGGGGUGGAUGAGCGGCGAACGGGUGAGUAACACGUGGGUGACCUGCCCUCAGCUCUGGGAUAAGCCUGGGAAACUGGGUCUAAUACCGGAUAUGACCUUUCCUCGCAUGGGGUUUGGUGGAAAGUUUUUCGGCUGGGGAUGGGCCCGCGGCCUAUCAGCUUGUUGGUGGGGUGAUGGCCUACCAAGGCGACGACGGGUAGCCGGCCUGAGAGGGCGUCCGGCCACACUGGACUGAGACACGGCCCAGACUCCUACGGGAGGCAGCAGUGGGGAAUAUUGCGCAAUGGGCGGAAGCCUGACGCAGCGACGCCGCGUGGGGGAUGACGGCCU